GCCAGUUUUCUCCAUCUCCAAAUAUUACCUGUCUUGAGCCAGACUGAACGGCACACACUUCAGCAGGGCCGGCGGCGUUCCUCCGCAAGAAUGCUGAGCUGGAGGGGAGGACAAAUCUUUGGGAAAGGGAGCAGAUGGAUCCCAGGUGACGGAGGCAUGCCCGCUUCCUCCGUGUGGUUCACAGUGUGUUGGGAGCACCGAUGACCGUCUUCCACACGAGGCUUUCCCUGAACCCUAAGGCCUGACCCCCCAACAAGCCUCCUGCCCGCCUCUUGUGCACCUGCAGCUGCUGCUUCCCAGGGGACCUGACUGGCACAGGGUCACAGAUGGGAAUGGACUUGGAAGUGGUAACGGACCACUGACGUUCCAGCCCCACAUGCACCUCAGAUCUAAGAGCCAGGGAGAAGAGUGAGACCCUCUGUCCAGCUGCUGUUGCUCAGAAGUCACUGCCACGAGCCUGGUGCGGGGAGAGCCCGGUGCAAGCCUGGCUUUUGCCCCAGCAAGCCGUUCCUCUGUCCUGGGACGCUUGGUCAGGGUCCCAGGCCCGAGACCACCCUGGCAGGAUGAAGGGGUGCCUGCUCCUCUAUUGCAGCCGUGGAUGGUUCUGGUGAGGGUGGGGCUUCCCUCAGCUACACCCACCUCUGCGCAUGCUUCUGCUCACCUGGACUCCAUCGGAGGAGGACCAGGACACGAGGUUAACUGCAUCCACGUGGAAGGGCACCAGGUGCAGAGAGCCGGGUGUGUG